GGAUGCGUAGUUUAAUGGUAAAACAAUAGACUCCAAAUCUAUCGAGUGUGGGUUCGAUUCCUUCCGCAUCCG